rnacentral:lncRNA from 1 species
AUUUUAUACCAUAAUUAAAGCUGUCAUAAUAAAAAUCUUUCUUGGCCAGGGACCAAUCACACCGGAAAUGAAGACCAAGCAAUAUUAAUAGCAUGGCAGAACGGUCUUGAAUUUCAGUCUUAUUAACAUAAUGGCAGCAGAGCUGAUACUACCUUCUGGUUUUGCAUGUCAUUUUUAAUUUCAAUUCAUUUGUGGCUUUUGCAAUAGUAUAAUUUUUGAAAAAUAGUAACACAUGUUCUUAUAAAACAGUCCAAGAAUAAGCUAAUGAGCCUAGGAAUAGUAGAACUGUACUGUGUAGAUACUUCAUAGCUGAGCAUAACUUUUAAGAGGUAUCUUAGUGAUGUCCAGUUUGUCUUCAUCUGAGUGCAUUGCUGCUUGGGAAGGACUGAGUUAAUACCGGGCACUUCUGUAUGACUGCAUGGAAAUGUAAAAGGGUUUCUGUGGGAUCUGCUGUUUCCAAAGCAUCUCCAGGUUUCCUUUACAUUUCGUCAGCCGUGGUUACUGGAUCCUUCGCCACACGGUGCUGGGCCACGUGAAGGAGCAACUCUAAGGAAAAUGCAACUGCUCUCUGCAUCAUCCUGCUGUAGGAAUGGCACAAGGAACACAUGUAGGCUUUAGGCUUAAGCUCUUCGUCGAGUAGUUAUGUCAAAAGUGGAGAAAGCACAAAAGAAACUUUCCAAAACAAGAGAGGGAAUUAGAAAGGUGUCUCACAGUGAUUUUGUUCUCUUCUUGAAAGCUGUGGAAUCAUCAACUUCAAAAUGAAUCAAGAUUGCUUUUAAUGCAGAGGUCUUUCAGCAAGACUUCAGGUCUGGCAUGACAUGCUCAACGCUGCUCUCCAGGGGAGAUAUCACAACCUCCUGUGGUCCAUCCUGGUAAGGAGCUCACAAAGAUUAAGGAAGGGAGAUGCUUCUUUGUAGAUGGACUUGUGCUGCGUGAGCUAAAUCGGUUAAUAGAUGCUAUGAUAAUUUAUUACAAGCUGUUUGUUUGUUUUUUCCCAUAUGCACAAUAGUAUAUUGUAAAGCAAUUGGUCAUAUCAGAUGAAGUUAUAACAUGACAAGAUGGAUCAUUUAAUAUAUCAAAUGAUACUGCUAUGUGUACUGUUGUAUCCAAAAUAUAUAUUAAAGAAAG